rnacentral:tRNA from 1 species
AAAAAGAUAAGCUAAAUAAGCUAAUGGACUCAUACCCCAUUUAUAAAGGUCCUAAUCCUUUUCUUUUUA